AUUGAACGCUGGCGGCAUGCCUUACACAUGCAAGUCGAACGGUAACAGGUCUUCGGAUGCUGACGAGUGGCGAACGGGUGAGUAAUACAUCGGAACGUGCCUAGUAGUGGGGGAUAACUACUCGAAAGAGUGGCUAAUACCGCAUGAGAUCUACGGAUGAAAGCAGGGGAUCGCAAGACCUUGUGCUAUUAGAGCGGCCGAUGGCAGAUUAGGUAGUUGGUGGGAUAAAAGCUUACCAAGCCGACGAUCUGUAGCUGGUCUGAGAGGACGACCAGCCACACUGGGACUGAGACACGGCCCAGACUCCUACGGGAGGCAGCAGUGGGGAAUUUUGGACAAUGGGCGCAAGCCUGAUCCAGCAAUGCCGCGUGCAGGAUGAAGGCCUUCGGGUUGUAAACUGCUUUUGUACGGAACGAAAAGCCCUGGGUUAAUACCCUGGGGUCAUGACGGUACCGUAAGAAUAAGCACCGGCUAACUACGUGCCAGCCGCCGCGGUAAAAC
rnacentral:rRNA from 1 species